UUUUACGUCGUCCUAAGGUCAUCGACGACUUCUUUUGUCUGUGUAGGGUUGUUAUCUACCGAGCUCCUUUUCGACUUUUACGCUGUUCGAAGAUACCCGGUUGUCAUUUUUCCGUCAAUGGCUGCAGGUUCGCUUGGGGCCAUUCGGGCCCGGGGUCCCUCCUAGGGCUUGAAUUCGGAGAUCCGAGCUUCAGUUGCCCUCGGGUGCUGCUUGUUUUCCAAUCAUCACUGUUGCGAUCCAUUACCUUCCUUUAUUGCUUGGAGUUUUUUCUCCGCUGAAGUCGAGGCUAAGUUCGGCUCCCGUGGGAGUCCGGACGGAGAAUCCCUCUUGAAGUU
rnacentral:lncRNA from 1 species